UACGUAGGGUGCGAGCGUUAAUCGGAAUUACUGGGCGUAAAGCGUGCGCAGGCGGUUUUGUAAGCCGGAUGUGAAAUCCCCGGGCUUAACCUGGGAAUGGCAUUCGGGACUGCAAGGCUGGAGUGCGGCAGAGGAGACUGGAAUUCCUAGUGUAGCAGUGAAAUGCGUAGAUAUCAGGAGGAACACCGAUGGCGAAGGCAGGUCUCUGGGCUGACACUGACGCUCAUGCACGAAAGCGUGGGGAGCAAACAGG
rnacentral:rRNA from 1 species